GUGAGGAAUAUUGGACAAUGGGCGCAAGCCUGAUCCAGCCAUGCCGCGUGCAGGAAGACGCAUCUAUGGUGUGUAAACUGCUUUUGUACGGGAAGAAACACUCCCUCGUGAGGGAGCUUGACGGUACCGUAAGAAUAAGGAUCGGCUAACUCCGUGCCAGCAGCCGCGGUAAUACGGAGGAUCCAAGCGUUAUCCGGAAUCAUUGGGUUUAAAGGGUCCGUAGGCGGUUUAAUAAGUCAGUGGUGAAAGCCCAUCGCUCAACGAUGGAACGGCCAUUGAUACUGUUAGACUUGAAUUACAAGGAAGUAACUAGAAUAUGUAGUGUAGCGGUGAGAUGCUUAGAUAUUACAUGGAAUACCAAUUGCGAAGGCAGGUUACUACUUGUGGAUUGACGCUGAUGGACGAAAGCGUGGGGAGCGAACAGGAUUAGAUACCCGUGUAGUCC
rnacentral:rRNA from 1 species